GUCUAUGGCCAUACCACCCUGAACGCGCCCGAUCUCGUCUGAUCUCGGAAGCUAAACAGGGUUGGGCCUGGUUAGUACUUGGAUGGGAGAAUACACUCAUUUAUGUACC
rnacentral:rRNA from 1 species